UCCGGUUUAACACCGGCAGUCUCCAUAGAGUGCCCAACUAAAUGAUGGCAACUAGGGAUAAGGGUUGCGCUCGUUAAGGGACUUAACCCGACAUCUCACGAUACGAGCUGACGACAGCCAUGCAGCACCUGUCUCUCGGUCCCCGAAGGGAAAGUGGUAUCUCUACCAUUGUCCGAGGAUGUCAAACCCAGGUAAGGUUCUUCGCGUUGCAUCGAAUUAAACCACAUGCUCCACCGCUUGUGCGGGCCCCCGUCAAUUCCUUUGAGUUUUAACCUUGCGGCCGUACUUCCCAGGCGGGGUACUUAAUGCGUUAGCUACGGCACUGCAGGGGUCAAUUCCUGCAACACCUAGUACCCAUCGUUUAGGGCGUGGACUAC
rnacentral:misc_RNA from 1 species